CGAUGGCGAAAGGCAGGUCUUUGGGCCCAUUACUGACACUGAGAAGCGAAAGCCAUGGGUAGCGAACCAGGAUUAGAUACCCUGGUAGUCCCAUGCCGUAAACGUUGGGCACUAGGUGUGGGGGACAUUCCACGUUUUCCGCGCCGUAGCUAACGCAUUAAAGUGCCCCCUCCUGGGGAGUACGGCCGCAAGGCUAAAACUCAAAGGAAUUGACGGGGGCCCGCACAAGCGGCGGAGCAUGUUGAUUAAUUCGAUGCAACGCGAAGAACCUUACCAAGGCUUGACAUGCACUGGACGGCUGCAGAGAUGUGGCUUUCUUUGGACUGGUGCACAGGUGGUGCAUGGUUGUCGUCAGCUCGUGUCGUGAGAUGUUGGGUUAAGUCCCGCAACGAGCGCAACCCUUGUUCUAUGUUGCCAGCACGUGAUGGUGGGGACUCAUAGGAGACUGCCGGGGUCAACUCGGAGGAAGGUGGGGACGACGUCAAAUCAUCAUGCCCCUUAUGUCUUGGGCUUCAAGCAUGCUACAAUGGUCGGUACAAUGGGUUGCGAAACUGUGAGGAGGAGCGAAUCCCAAAAAGCCGGCCUCAGU
rnacentral:rRNA from 1 species